rnacentral:rRNA from 1 species
AUUGAACGCUGGCGGAAUGCUUUACACAUGCAAGUCGAGCGGCAGCGCGGGGCAACCUGGCGGCGAGCGGCGAACGGGUGAGUAAUACAUCGGAACGUACCCAGUUGUGGGGGAUAGCCCGGCGAAAGCCGGAUUAAUACCGCAUACGACCUGAGGGUGAAAGAGGGGGAUCGCAAGACCUCUCGCAGUUGGAGCGGCCGAUGGCGGAUUAGCUAGUUGGUGGGGUAAAGGCCUACCAAGGCGACGAUCCGUAGCGGGUCUGAGAGGACGACCCGCCACACUGGAACUGAGACACGGUCCAGACUCCUACGGGAGGCAGCAGUGGGGAAUUUUGGACAAUGGGGGCAACCCUGAUCCAGCCAUUCCGCGUGAGUGAAGAAGGCCUUCGGGUUGUAAAGCUCUUUCGGCAGGAACGAAACGGUCUUUUCUAAUACAAGAGGCUAAUGACGGUACCUGAAGAAGAAGCACCGGCUAACUACGUGCCAGCAGCCGCGGUAACAC